CAAGAAAGAGACAAAAAAGACAAACAAAAACAAAGAGAAUACAGAUUUGGUUGGUCCUUCUUUUU
rnacentral:ribozyme from 12 species